CUGCUCCCUCCUAUGUGGUGUAUGUGGUACUGCUGAGCUUGUAUGUGAUCUGAACCAUUGUAAAGGUUGCAGUUCAAGGGCCUGAGGUGGAAGCAGAAUUUGUGAGGAUUACUACUGCUCCACUUGACCAAUACACUGACCAGCUCAUAAAAGUCUUCAAGAAAAAAGGAGGCGCUGCAGUGAAGAAAAUUAGACAAACUUUGGCCCCUGCCACAAAGGUGCGUUAUUCUGUUGGUAGCAAAAUAUUAUGGCUAAUAAGAUCACUUUCAAAUUUAACAGCUAGUGUAUGGUAGCUGCACAGUGUACUUACAUUUAUAUUAAGCAAGACAAAGUUUGGUACUCAAAACUUUGGAAA